UUCUAAGGGCGUCGAAGGCAGAUCGUGAGGACUGCUGGAGCGCUUAGAAGUGAGAAUGCCGGUAUGAGUAGCGAAAGACAGGUGAGAAUCCUGUCCACCGAAUGACUAAGGUUUCCUGGGGAAGGCUCGUCCGCCCAGGGUUAGUCGGGACCUAAGCCGAGGCCGAUAGGCGUAGGCGAUGGAUAACAGGUUGAUAUUCCUGUACCCGUUGUUUUUGUUUGAGCAAUGGAGGGACGCAGGAGGCUAAGGAAUGCAGACGAUUGGAAAUGUCUGUCCAAGCAGUAAGUCUGAAGAGGAGUCAAAUGCUUCUUUUCUUAAGGACAAGCUGUGAUGGGGAGGGAAAUAAUAGUACCGAAGUUCCUGAUGUCACACUGCCGAGAAAAGCUUCUAGUGAGAAAACAGCGGCCCGUACCGCAAACCGACACAGGUAGUCGAGGAGAGAAUCCUAAGGUGAGCGAGAGAACUCUCGUUAAGGAACUCGGCAAAAUGACCCCGUAACUUCGGGAGAAGGGGUGCUGAUCAUACGAUCAGCCGCAGUGAAUAGGCCCAAGCGACUGUUUAUCAAAAACACAGGUCUCUGCAAAAUCGUAAGAUGAAGUAUAGGGGCUGACGCCUGCCCGGUGCUGGAA
rnacentral:rRNA from 1 species